rnacentral:misc_RNA from 1 species
AACUCUCAAACAAAGGUAGCUUUGUUGCUAUCUUUGUUUGGAUAUAGACUCUGCUGCGUCAGUGCGGCUAGUCUUAAAUGUAUUAGCUGGUCCUUAAGGAGGAUUUGGUUCUACUCAGCGUGAUAAUUAUCUAACGUUGAGGACAGUUUCAGGACUGGCCAGAGCCAUCUUUGGAUUGCUUCUAAUUGAUUGUCCUUGGACAAUAAUUAUUCAAC